rnacentral:sRNA from 1 species
UGGAACUUCUUAUAUAAUUUUAUAAAAAAGAAAAAAAAAAGGAAAUAAAAAAAGGAAUUAGACAUUU